GUGGGGAAUAUUGCACAAUGGGCGCAAGCCUGAUGCAGCCAUGCCGCGUGUAUGAAGAAGGCCUUCGGGUUGUAAAGUACUUUCAGCGGGGAGGAAGGUGUUGAGGUUAAUAACCUCAGCAAUUGACGUUACCCGCAGAAGAAGCACCGGCUAACUCCGUGCCAGCAGCCGCGGUAAUACGUAGGGUGCAAGCGUUAAUCGGAAUUACUGGGCGUAAAGCGUGCGCAGGCGGUUCGGAAAGAAAGAUGUGAAAUCCCAGAGCUUAACUUUGGAACUGCAUUUUUAACUACCGAGCUAGAGUGUGUCAGAGGGAGGUGGAAUUCCGCGUGUAGCAGUGAAAUGCGUAGAGAUCUGGAGGAAUACCGGUGGCGAAGGCGGCCCCCUGGACAAAGACUGACGCUCAGGUGCGAAAGCGUGGGGAGCAAACAGGAUUAGAUACCCGUGUAGUCC
rnacentral:rRNA from 1 species